CCAUCUGUUUCCUCUCUGCACAAAGAAGGUUCACUUCUGCGGAAGCGACGAGAUGGCGAGGGCCUGCCGGCGAAAGAGACGGAAGCCGAUGUAGAUCCGAGAACCUGGCAGAGCUGCCCUGAAAUCCACGAGGUGGAUUGCUUGUUGUCCCAUGUGGUUGUUUCCUCCCUCCGUGCCGUUUCUGUGCAUGUUUCCGUCCAUAUGGCUUGGGUUGGCCUGGAGCAGCUGAAGCAGCAGAUGGGUAUCUCGGAGGGCUCCCUUGACAAAAUUCUCUUAGGUGUGACUUCUGAAGAUUCAGAAAGCACAUGAGAGGGCAUUGUCGGCUUCCUCUGGUUGCAUCAUCAUUCACAAGUUAAAACAUCUUGCGGUGGAGAAGAUGAUGAGCGCCCCACAACUCAUAUGCUUCAGAACUUUCCUGAAGAGGCAAGUCUGUACCAUGGUCGCACCACCAACAAUCCAUUAGAUCAAGUACUCUGGAUAAAUUUUGUGUUAACCACUUCUUUUUUUGUUUAAGGCAGUAUAUUCUGAAGAGUAGUAUAAUGACUCAAAGUUGUCUAUAACAGCAGCAACAUUUUCCUACAGCAACCACUGGUGGAGAUUUAGAUACUUUAUUGCGGAUGCAGGUACCGUAAUGGGAGCAGGAUUAGAAGUUAGAUUCACUAGUAUCUACAUAUUUUAGAUUUAGUAUAGGGUUAUUAUUAAGAUUUAGUUGAUGCAAAACUCUUAAAUUAUAUUGUCAGUUGGAUUUGUUAAAUUAUUAAAUUAUGACUUUUAAUUAUUUAAAUUUAUUUGCUACUUGUUUAUGAUAUCUAAAAGAUUUUGAUUGCUAGGAUAUGCAACAUCAAGAGGUUACAUGGGUAUGCUUCCUUUUGGGUAUCUAUGUAUUCAAUACCUUUUAUUACGAAUGCAACAUCCAGAGGUUACAUGGGUAUGCUUCCUUUUGGGUAUCUAUGUAUUCAAUACCUUUUAUUACGAAUGCUUGUUGAGAUGAUGUUUCUUCUGUACCAUAUGUUGUGUUAUGCACUGUAUCAAUAUGGAAGAUCAUUUGGAUUGUAUCAUGAUAAAUAGUGUGGCACAAAGAAUUGAGGGCACGGUGGUUCUUGGUCUUUUUUUUUUCCUUCUUGUAUGUGGGGGAUGGGGGUGUAAGAGCCGGUAUUUGAAAUUUUGAAUGUAUUAAUAGCAAUUUGCAAGCUCUUGUCAAGCUUCAUCGGUGUAGUUUCUGAAUCAAGUUAAUUAAUGAUUGGAGGUUAAAGUGCAUUUGUUCAUCCAAAUGUAGCUUGUUUGGAGGAAGUUUCCUGACCAGCUGAUUUGUCACUGAUUAAUUAAGUUGAAAUCCUCGGAAGUCUGCAUGAUACAUAUGCUGUCCAUGUUUGAUUUGAAGAGCUAAAUAUACUUGUCUGCAUUUGUUACAGCUGCAUCAUUUUAUAGGUUUUCGAGGUAUUGCUGUUCAUUUCCCAUGUUUCUGUUAUUGGUUAUGAAAGGAGCUCAAAGUGUUUUGUGAUCUAACAAUCCUUUGAGUUUGUACUGUGAUUUUAUUGUGCCGCCGCCUCACCCUCUUUUCUUCUUUCUUUUUUUUGGAAGGGAUUUAUUUCUUUUUGCUGUACUCAUGUUGCUGCCACUGGAUGUGCUCUGAAAAUGUUAUUUGACCAUCUUUCAUUUGAGAUCAUGUAAUAUUGCUGUGUUACUCAUGUUUAGUGUCUCAACUGUAUCUUGGAUCCAUAUGUGCCAUAUCAUUUGUAAGUCCUGUGAUGGUUGUUUUAUUUGAAUUUUCAUAUAUCCCUAAUUCUUGUUGGGAAAGUGGCUUUUUUAUUCACUGCAUGGUGUAGUUGUACUUUUAUUUGUAUGUGGCAUAGAGGUAGCCAUUGGUUGUUUGAAGUUGUGGUCAUAUAGUCAUGGUAUUUCG